UUCCUUGGAUGUGGUAGCCGUUUCUCAGGCUCCCUCUCCUGAAUCGAAUCCUAAUUCUCCGUUACCCGUCAAUGCCACGGUAGGCCACUACCCUACCGUCGAAAGCUGAUAGGGCAGAAAUUUGAA
rnacentral:rRNA from 1 species